GGAGGGGUGCGAGAGUUUGGUUUAAUCGGCACGACUGGAAAUCGUGUAUCCCGCCAAAAGUGGGAUCGAGGGUUCAAAUCCCUCCCCCUCCG
rnacentral:tRNA from 2 species